rnacentral:rRNA from 1 species
AGGAUUCCCCUAGUAACUGCGAGUGAAGCGGGAAAAGCUCAAAUUUAAAAUCUGGCAGCCUCUGGCUGUCCGAGUUGUAAUCUAGAGAAGUAAUGCCCGUGCUGGACCGUGUAUAAGUCUCCUGGGAUGGGGCGUCAUAGAGGGUGAGAAUCCCGUCUUUGACACGGACUACCAGUGCAUUGUGGUAUGCUCUCAAAGAGUCGAGUUGUUUGGGAAUGCAGCUCAAAAUGGGUGGUAAAUUCCAUCUAAAGCUAAAUAUUGGCGAGAGACCGAUAGYGAACAAGUACCGUGAGGGAAAGAUGAAAAGAACUUUGGAAAGAGAGUUAAACAGUACGUGAAAUUGCUGAAAGGGAAACGCUUGAAGUCAGUCGCGUUGGCUGGGGAUCAGCCUUGCUUUUUGCAUGGUGUACUUUCUGGUUGACGGGUCAGCAUCAAUUUUGACCACUGGAAAAGGCUCAAGGGAAUGUGGCAGCUUCGGCUGUGUUAUAGCCCCUGUUCACAUACAGUGGUUGGGAUUGAGGAACUCAGCACGCCGCAAGGCCGGGUUUCGACCACGUUCGUGCUUAGGAUGCUGGCAUAAUGGCUUUAAGCGACCCGUCUUGAAACACGGACCAAGGAGUCUAACAUGCCUGCAAGUAUUUGGGUGGAAAACCCAAGUGCGCAAUGAAAGUGAAAGUUGAGAUCCCUGUCGUGGGGAGCAUCGACGCCCGGACCAGAACUUUUGGGACGGAUCCGCGGUGGAGCAUGUAUGUUGGGACCCGAAAGAUGGUGAACUAUGCCUGAAUAGGGUGAAGCCAGAGGAAACUCUGGUGGAGGCUCGUAGCGAUUCUGACGUGCAAAUCGAUCGUCAAAUUUGGGUAUAGGGGCGAAA